rnacentral:rRNA from 1 species
AUGCGGCCAUCGCCCAUGGCGGCGAGGGCGGCGAGCGGGUGCUCCUCGGCGGCGCUGGCCUUCUUCCGCCUCCGCCCGCUCGCCCGCGCCGCCCGCCUGGCCCCCGCGGGCCGCUCCGCGUUCGGCGCCACUGCCGCCUGCCGGGGCCGCCUCGUCGACUCCGUCCUCCAGGAGCUCCGGUCCCGCAGGCGGGUCCGGGUCUCCGCAAGGACAGGAUUGCAGGGCACAAAGGAACUGUCGGAUAGUAAGAUAGAGAAGAGAACAAUACAAAAAGGAUUGCUGCUUGAAUUUCACAAAGAUUCUGAGAGAUCCUUGCUCGCUGUUGUCGAAAGGCCUGAUGGGAAGAAAAACUGGGUAGUCACUGACCAGAAUGGUAUCUUAUCUUCUAUAAAGCCCCAGCAGGUGACAUAUGUUGUACCUGGUACCAUGGAUUUUGAUUGUUCAAGAAUAGCUGAAUUUCUCGAGAAAGCGCAGGAUCUCUUGGACCCUACUAUCUUGGAAUGUGCCUGGAUGGAGCUUUCUGAGAAGGACAAAUCAGUAACUGUUGAGGAGUUUGCCGAUAUAGUUUAUGGCAGCAAGGAGUCUCUGGAAAGCUACUGUGCACACUUUUUGUUGUCACGGGAUAUUGUGUAUUUUGUGAAGGUGGAGAGCAGAGGUUCUUCCAUAUACCAGCCUCGCCCAUCUUCUCAGGUGGAUGAACUUUUACGACGGAAGCUUGCUAAAGAGGCCGCCGAUAAGGAACUGGAAGAAUUUGUCCACCUACUCAAGUCUGCUAAAGCAUUGCCUCUAGGCUCUAAGCCUCCAAAAAAUUCAUGGUUGAUGGAAGAGAAAGUGAAACAAAAAAUCGAGUCUCUUCAGGCAUAUGCAGUUGAUGCGUGUAAUGAUGAACAAAGAAGAAUGGCGGGAAAUAUUCUGAAGGCUAUGGGUUUUGCACGGACGUCAUCAGCUGCCCUAAAGCUCCUUAUAAAUGUGGGUUACUUCCCCGUGCAUGUCAAUCUUGAUCUUUUCAGGUAUGAUGUUCAAACCACGUAUACCGAGAAAGUUUUGUCUGUUGCUGAGGAGCUUCUGGUGGAUUGUCCUGAUUCAGAUAAGCAUGUCAGGAAGGAUCUUUCAAAUUUGAGAGUGUAUGCCAUUGAUGUGGAUGAGGCUGAUGAACUUGAUGAUGCAUUAAGUGCAACUAGACUACCUGAUGGUAGGAUAAAGGUCUGGAUACAUGUAGCUGACCCAACAUGCUUUCUUCAACCCCGGAGCAUCCUUGACAGGGAAGCAAUGCACAGAGGAACCUCCAUAUUUUUACCAACUGCCACCUUUCCGAUGUUCCCAGAGAGGCUUGCCAUGAAUGCUAUGAGUUUGCAACAGGGUACAGAUUGUAGAUCUGUAAGCGUAUCUGUGAUUUUGCAUCCAGAUGGAAGCAUUGCAGAAUAUUCGAUAGAGAACUCAGUAAUCAAACCUACCUACAUGUUAACAUAUGAGGGUGCAACUGAAUUGCUGUACAUGAAUCUGGAAGAAGAGGAAGACCUGAGGAUUCUUCAAGAAGCUGCUUCACUUCGUGCACAAUGGCGUCGUAGUCAGGGUUCAAUCGACACUGCUAUGAUAGAACCUCGUAUCAAGGUGGCAAAUCCUGAUGAUCCUGAACCAAACAUUAAUUUAUAUGUUGAAGAUCAAACCAACCCAGCAAUGCAGCUUGUAUCUGAGAUGAUGAUACUGUGUGGGGAGGCGGUGGCUGCGUUUGGUUCUGACAACAACAUUCCUUUGCCAUACAGAGGGCAUCCCCAGUCUAAUACAGCUGUGUCAGCAUUUGCCUAUCUACCUGAAGGGCCUGCCAGGAGCGUUGCCAAUAUCAGUGUGCUUCGUGCUGCAGAAAUGGAUUUUCGAAAACCUGUAGCACACGGUGUCCUCGGAAUUCCUGGCUAUGUACAGUUCACCUCCCCUAUUCGAAGAUAUGUCGACCUGCUUGCUCAUUAUCAGGUAAAGGCUUUUCUUAGAGGCGAAUCUCCACCAUAUUCAGCUGGUGAUCUGGAAGGGAUGACAUUUAUUGCGAGCAUGCAUGUUAAAGUAGCUAGGAAGCUCCAUAGCAACAGCUUACGUUACUGGUUGCUGGAGUACUUAAGGAGGCAGCCAAAGGGGAGGAAGUAUAGAGCACUCGUACUUAAGUUCAUCAAGGAUCGCAUGGCAACAUUGCUUUUGGUGGAUGUCGGGAUUCAGGUCACAACCGUGGUUGCAGCCGGGAAAGUGGGAGAUGAAGCGAGUGUCGUUGUGGAAAUGGUUCGUCCCCGCGACGACAUCUUAUCAGUUAUGGAGAUUGCACAAGACAUGGAGGAGUAA